rnacentral:rRNA from 1 species
GAUGAACGCUGACAGAAUGCUUAACACAUGCAAGUCAACUUGAACUUCGGUUUGGGUGGCGGACGGGUGAGUAACGCGUAAAAAACUUCCCCCCAAAAAGGGACCAACAUUGGAAAAGAAAGCCAAAACCCGAAAAUUAGAAUAAAUUGGAUCGGAUAAUUUUGAAAGCUAUAUGCGCUGUGAGAGAGCUUUGCGUCCCAUUAGCUAGUUGGAGAGGUAACGGCUCACCAAGGCGAUGAUGGGUAGCCGGCCUGAGAGGGUGAUCGGCCACAAGGGGACUGAGACACGGCCCUUACUCCUACGGGAGGCAGCAGUGGGGAAUAUUGGACAAUGGACCAAGAGUCUGAUCCAGCAAUUCUGUGUGCACGAUGAAGUUUUUCGGAAUGUAAAGCGCUUUCAGUUGGGAAGAAAAAAAUGACGGUACCAACAGAAGAAGUGACGGCUAUAUACGUG